CGGGGCGGCCUUAAGGGUCGUCCUGAUGGGGCAGAAGUCAGCCGAGGUCGUAGUACCGGCGGGAAUCGUGAGGUUCGCCGGGAAGGGC
rnacentral:ncRNA from 1 species